rnacentral:tRNA from 1 species
AUAUUGGCUUGAAACCAGUUAGAGGGGGUUCGAUUCCUUCCUUUCUUA